UUUUUUGAGAGUUUGAUCCUGGCUCAGGAUGAACGCUGGCGGCGUGCCUAAGGCAUGCAAGUCAAGGGGGUCGCAAGAUAAACCGGCAGACGGGUGAGUAAUAUAUAGGAAUCUACCCUUCAAUGGACCAUAGCUCAUCGAAAGAUGGGGUAAUAGUCCAUGGCACUUGUGCUUCGCACAAGAACUACUAACAACAAACAACUAACAGCUAACUAUUUUGUUAGAAGUUAGAAGUCAGAAGUUAUUUGUUCUCGUGCGGAGCAUGAAUUAAAGAUCUUAACUGAUCGUUGAAGGAGGAGCCUAUAUCCUAUCAGCUAGUUGGCGGGGUAAAAGCCCACCAAGGCAAUGACGGGUAGCUGGACUGAGAGGUCGGUCAGCCACAACUGCACUGAGACACGGGCAGUACACC
rnacentral:rRNA from 1 species